UACGGGGGGGGCUAGCGUUGUUCGGAAUUACUGGGCGUAAAGCGCACGUAGGCGGCUUUGUAAGUUAGAGGUGAAAGCCCAGGGCUCAACCCUGGAAUUGCCUUUAAGACUGCAUCGCUAGAAUUGUGGAGAGGUAAGUGGAAUUCCGAGUGUAGAGGUGAAAUUCGUAGAUAUUCGGCGGAACACCAGUGGCGAAGGCGACUCACUGGCCCGAUACUGACGCUGAGGCGCGAAAGCGUGGGGAGCAAACAGG
rnacentral:rRNA from 1 species